UACCUUUAUGUGGUGACUAAGAUUGCACUCGGCCUGGUUUUGUCAGAUGGGAUACAUCGCAGUAUAUGAUGCAGGCUGAGCAUUGUGCUUGCAUGCUCAGAUGUAUAUCAUGUGGAGAUGCUCAGAGACGUACUGGUGCUGCUCUACACAGAUUUAGAAUGCUUCGGUUGAGGCCUUGGUUGGAGUUGGUUGGUUAUUCUACUUCGGUAGCAUUUAGUGUUUCGGCAAGGAUUACUGGGAACAGUGAUUAAUUUGUUUCUUCGGUGGGAUUCGUAGUGAAUUCACGGGCGGGGAAUUCAUUAAGCUCAAUUCCUGCCAAAUCAGAAUUCAAGCCCUGAAAUUCACAUCCGCAGCCGGCACACACCCUUGUGUGAGUGUCUGGGAGGGGAUCGAUAGUGACACGGUAGGUAAUGUCAUCACCUUGUGAGUUGAACAAGAUAACUCACUUCAGGGCUUGAUGCUCAACCACUUGCAAUUGAUCACUAUAUGUCUGAGUAGAAACUUAGGAAACUUUCUUCCAAUCAAGAGCAGUUCGCUAGGAAGAUUGACGACAAUAUUCAUGGUGCACUUAGACACACGUUCUCAGGAACUUGACAGAUGUGGGAUCGCAUGGAUCUGUUCCAAGGGCUCUGGGAAGGCUCAAAACGUUGAUAAAUCUGGAUUUGGACAACAACAAAGUUUGCGAGAGUUGUAAUGCUCGGAACAAAGUGUCCAAUAUCGAGAAUAAUGGACCUUCCCAGCGGACCUUUUCCACGGGCAUAUGUCAACGAAGAAACUUGUAGAUCUGUGAGUGAUUUCUCCAAGCUGGGGAUUCGUAGAGGUGGAAUUCUGGCUAGAAACAGACUCAGAACAAUAAGGGCACUAUGGCAUUUACCCAAUUCGGCCUCUAGUCAUGGGAGGUACUUAAAACUAGAUACGGCCUUCAAAACGAUGGACAAAGAAAGUGGCAGGGCAUCAUCAUCCACAUUCCUCGCGACUGGCUUCACCUGAUGAGACAUUGGCAAUGAUCCGCCUCCACUCAACACAGAUGAAUGGUUUGGGCUGUUUUACGCAAAACAUGACAGAUAAGUCUCUCCAUACGCGAGUUUCACGAGGAGCAAAGAGCCUUUAGCUUGACAUUCUACCUGACAUUCUACCUGACGGGACCAGUAAGAGUCGACACCCCUGCUUAGGAACCGGCCUCACAUCGGCCUAGAAUCCAAAAGUUCAUUCCCAAUCCGAGAUUGGACAGAGGGCAACCUGAAGAUAAGCGGAUACUGGGGUGAUGUGAGCGUGUGGGACCAUGGCCCCAAUAUUGAGGUACAGGCCUCAGAAGGAAGGCCUUGCAAGUGAUGAGAUCCAUUACUUGGCCGAGUAUGCGCAUCAAGAAAUUAAACAUUGACGCUGGGUCUUACUAUAAUGAAACUCUGGAUCUGUACUGAACCAUUCAAAGAAACAAAUGAAUGUCCCACCUUUUGAAUGUCCUUUUCUUAUUCUAA